rnacentral:rRNA from 1 species
GACGAACGCUGGCGGCGUGCCUAACACAUGCAAGUCGAACGGAAAGGCCCUGCUUUUGUGGGGUGCUCGAGUGGCGAACGGGGGAGUAACACGUGAGUAACCUGCCCUUGACUUUGGGAUAACUUCAGGAAACUGGGGCUAAUACCGGAUAGGAGCUCCUGCUGCAUGGUGGGGGUUGGAAAGUUUCGGCGGUGGGGGAUGGACUGGCGGCUUAUCAGCUUGUUUGGGGGGUAGUUGCUUACCAAGGCUUUGACGGGUAGCCGGCCUGAGAGGGUUACCGGCCACAUUGGUACUAAGAUACGGCCCAGAAUGCUACGGGAGGCAGCAGUCGGAAGUAUUGCACAAUGGGCGGAAGCCUGAUGCAGCAACGCCGCGUGCGGGAUGCCGGCCUUCGGGUUGUAAACCGAUUUCGCCUGUGCCGAAGCGUGCGUGACGGUAAUGGGUCAAGAAGCAACGGCUAACUACGUG